AUUGAACGCUGGCGGCAGGCCUAACACAUGCGAGUCGAACGGUAACAGAAAGCAGCUUGCUGCUUUUCUGACGAGUGGCGGACGGGUGAGUAAUGUCUGGGAAACUGCCUGAUGGAGGGGGAUAACUACUGGAAACGGUAGCUAAUACCGCAUAACGUCGCAAGACCAAAGAGGGGGACCUUCGGGCCUCUUGCCAUCGGAUGUGCCCAGAUGGGAUUAGCUAGUAGGUGGGGUAAAGGCUCACCUAGGCGACGAUCCCUAGCUGGUCUGAGAGGAUGACCAGCCACACUGGAACUGAGAGACGGUCCAGACUCCUACGGGAGGCAGCAGUGGGGAAUAUUGCACAAUGGGCGCAAGCCUGAUGCAGCCAUGCCGCGUGUAUGAAGAAGGCCUGCGGGUUGUAAAGUAACUUCAGCGGGGAGGAAGGGAGUAAAGUUAAUACCUUUGCUCAUGGACGUUACCAGCAGAAGAAGCACCGGCAAACUCCGU
rnacentral:rRNA from 1 species